rnacentral:rRNA from 1 species
AUGUUUCGCUGCACCGAACCGCUGCGUGCUUCAGCUUCGUCAGAACACGAGCGAGACCAGGCUUCGUUGACCCUUUCGAUCGAGCCAAGCAAGCCGGCCCAGCGCGCCCUCUGCGGGCCUCCUUCCACUCCACCGCCUUGGGCCAAAGCCCAUGGUGAGGCCCAGCGAGGUGAGGACGCACCCAGCCUCCCUUGUGCACUGUUGGGCCAGCCAGCAGAUUCGGCCCAGUGUGGUUUUUUUUCCAGAUCUGUGAAUUUGUCUUUUAUCCAGAGUACUGCAUAUUUACAGAAAACGCCUUAA